CAAUCAGUGUUCAAUGGCACUUGAAAUCCAUUACCCACCUUGUGUGCAUUGUCGGGGGUCGAGAACGACCUUUUGGUUUUCUCUCGCCCUCUUUCAUUCAUACCGAUUCUUCAGUAUCAGUCUACAGUCAUUCGAGUGUAAAAAACUCUAAUA
rnacentral:misc_RNA from 1 species